CGAAACUGCGAAUGGCUCAUUAAAUCAGUUAUCGUUUAUUUGAUAGUACCUUACUACAUGGAUAACCGUGGUAAUUCUAGAGCUAAUACAUGCUAAAAAUCCCGACUUCGGAAGGGAUGUAUUUAUUAGAUUAAAAACCAAUGCCCUUCGGGGCUCUCUGGUGAUUCAUAAUAACUUCUCGAAUCGCACGGCCUUGCGCCGGCGAUGGUUCAUUCAAAUUUCUGCCCUAUCAACUUUCGACGGCUGGGUCUUGGCCAGCCGUGGUGACAACGGGUAACGGAGGGUUAGGGCUCGACCCCGGAGAAGGAGCCUGAGAAACGGCUACUACAUCCAAGGAAGGCAGCAGGCGCGCAAAUUACCCAAUCCCGACACGGGGAGGUAGUGACAAUAAAUACUGAUACAGGGCUCUUUCGGGUCUUGUAAUUGGAAUGAGUACAAUUUAAAUCCCUUAACGAGGAACAAUUGGAGGGCAAGUCUGGUGCCAGCAGCCGCGGUAAUUCCAGCUCCAAUAGCGUAUAUUAAAGUUGUUGAGGUUAAAAAGCUCGUAGUUGAACCUUGGGCCUAGCCGGCCGGUCCGCCUCACCGCGUGCACUGGCUCGGCUGGGUCUUUCCUUCUGGAGAACCGCAUGCCCUUCACUGGGUGUGCCGGGGAACCAGGACUUUUACUCUGAACAAAUUAGAUCGCUUAAAGAAGGCCUAUGCUCGAAUACAUUAGCAUGGAAUAAUAGAAUAGGACGUGUGGUUCUAUUUUGUUGGUUUCUAGGACCGCCGUAAUGAUUAAUAGGGACAGUCGGGGGGCAUCAGUAUUCAAUUGUCAGAGGUGAAAUUCUUGGAUUUAUUGAAGACUAACUACUGCGAAAGCAUUUGCCAAGGAUGUUUUCAUUAAUCAGGAACGAAAGUUAGGGGAUCGAAGACGAUCAGAUACCGUCGUAGUCUUAACCAUAAACUAUGCCGAUUAGGGAU
rnacentral:rRNA from 1 species